GGCGUUUGCAUGCUUCCCUCUCUGCCUGGCUUCUCUCAGCAGAUCAGUGCUGCUCACAGAGCAUCAUGCAGGACAUCUGCUGUCCACACAGAGCAGCACACAGCUCAACACGAGCCUUCAGUCGCUGCAAAUGACUCAAAACAACACAGAGAAGGACCAAUUUGCAGGAUUUUAGGGAUUUUUUGAACCUUUUCCACCUUUUCAAAUGUCUGGAGGGUUAUUAUUGCGGAGCUUUCACUAAGACUUAUAAGGAGGGAUCUUGGCUCCUGCAGCCGUUUCCCCUGCAGGGCUGAGCUCUUUGGCUGGCUGCUACUUCCUUAGCAGAGGGGCUGCUGGCAGGAGUAACAUCUGAGCAAGUACCACAAACAAACAGGCUCAAAAGUCUGAAAAUAAGGUCAUGAAGCCUCAGGAGGCCGAGCUCGUCAAUGAAAUCUCCAAGCUGCAGUGCAUGGUGUCGGAGCUGAAGACGGGCUUCACCAGCGCUCUGCUGGAGCUCAGUCAGAUCCAACAUGGAGACACUUACCUGAGGGAGGAGCUGGAGGAGAACCGGAGGAGCUGCCAGAAGAAAGCUCUCCGUCUGGAGGCUCUGGUCGAAUCACUGAAGGAGGAACUGGGUGUGAUGAGAUGUCAGGUUGUUCAGCUGUACAGCAAAAGACCUCAGCAGGAAGGAAAGAGCUCCACAUCUAAACAGAGCAUCGAUCCAGCAGAGUCGGUCGGUGGACGGAGUCGCUGCGACUGUUCGUCUGCUCCACCAGCCGCUCUGUCCAGAGGAAAACUGCUCCUCCACUGCUUCCUGCAGGGCCUCAAGGCUGGACUGAGCGAAGGAACAGAUGCUCGACACCAGGUGGCGAUGCAGCUUCUACACUCUGAGUGGGAAUAUGUGUCAACUUUAAACCAACUGUACGACAAGUACAAGACGCCACCAGCUCACCAGAUGACCAUGGAGCCGUAUCAGACUUACGUGAAGUUCGUGGAGCAGCUGCUACAGCGCCACCUGCUGUUCAGAAACACUCUGCAGGAGCGUUUAUCCGCUGAACACUGGAAGUCUCUGGUCGGGGACAUCCUGGUGCAGCUAAUCGGACAAAACGACACAGCUUUUUCAGACAUGUACCUCGGAUACACGACCACUCUGGCCACGUUCCUCUGGCUGGAGUUCACCAGACUGAACCAACCAGAGAAAAGCCACAAAAUGCAGAGCGGCCAGAUGGAGAGGGAGGAAAUAAAACUGCUGUCGUUGCUGUUGGCGCCAGUCGCUCGAAUCCACAGCUACCUGAGUCACAUCCAGAACCUGCUGCAGUGGACGGGUAAAGAACAUCCAGACUGCAGCCUCCUGCUGGGAACCGAACGAGCGCUGAGGAGCGUUUUGUCUCGAUGUCAUGUGAUCCUGGAGGAAGACGUCCGAUGGGAGGAAGGAGAAGGACAAAGCUGCUCUGAUGCUGCAGCAGCAACGUCAUCUGCAAACUGCUGCACAAGAAGCCAACAGACCAGAGACGAGAACAACCCUGCAGCUCAGAGAGACCUUCAGCCUCCAGGACUCUCCAACGGGCUGGACGGCGGCCACUCCAUGCGUCUGGAGUGUUGGUCCUGCAGCCCGGUGAGGAGGGACCGGACCGUCCAGAACCAGCCGGCUCACGACUGCAGACGCUGCUGCUCUCUCCUCACCCCUGACGCUGCCGGAUGGGGGGAGAACAGCGACUCGGGCCAGGGCACCUUCAGCCAGAACAACGGAAAGGUUCCCCACCAGAACCACAGCCUGGAGGACGGAGAGACCGACCCGGACGACACCUCGGCCUUCGACUACUCCUCCGUCACCUCCUGCAGCCCGGACGGAACCCUGAGGAGGGAGACGGUGGAGAGCGUCAGCGGGGAGGACGAGGAGGACAGCCAGGUCCCGGUUCUCCUGAAACCCUCCUACAACCAGCAGCAGCAGCAGCAGCCGGAGACGCCCAGAGAGAGGACGGUGUGUCUGAGGUGGCAGAUCCCCAGGUUGACCCCCCAUCCUCCGCUCAGGAACCCCAGCGGGCCCUACGGGGACGGACCCAUGCCCUGCCUGGUGGGGUCCUACGGAAAGAGGCUGGUCAGCGUGAGGAAGGGUUCUCCUCCUCUUCAUCCCAAAAGUGCCUUCAGACCCAUCUGGGACGACCCGUCCAAGCAGGCUGAUUCGGCUCCAGAGAAGGACAACAGACAAGGCUUCAUACCGAUUCAAGCUCCAACCAGACAAAACUUCCAGAGUUUCAACCCGAGCAGAGAAAAUCUGAGACCUUCAGGAGUCGUUCAGCAGCAGAGAGUGAACCAGGGGUUGUGGGACGACAGCGAGGACAGCGAAGGACCCUGCAGCACAGUUUGACCUCCAGCAGAAAACAGACUGAUGAUAAACUGAAGUUGAAUCCAAACAGGAGAAGAUCUGUGACGGAGGAACUAAAAGCCACAACAGACGUUAACAGAAGUGAAUCAAAAGCCUGAAAACUGAGUGUUUCUGAUUUUAUCUUUAAGCUGAAACUUGUACGAACACUGAGGACUUCUACAUGUGGGAUUAUAUUUAAGUACAAGUUAAAUUAAGGCUGAAAAAUUAGAGGGAAAUAUCUAAUUGUGAUUUUCUGCCACAUAUUUAAGUUUUAGUUUAAUAGUGGCUGUAAUAGAUCUUAAACAUGUGAUGCAGUGUAAACAGCUGAGACACCAGGAAGGACGGCAUGAAUCUGAACAUCCCAAAUUAAAACCUUUGCGAUUUUUCUAAUUGUGCUGUUUCAAAUUGUGAUUUCUCCUUUUAUUGCUGUAAAACAAAGAAACUAGUAAGACCAACCAAGAAAGCUAUGAGUCCUCCUCCAGAGGUGGUUAAAGAAGCAAGAAACUAGUAAUCAAGGCCACCAAGACAGCUAUGACUCCUCUGACCUUGGUGGCCUCUGUCAGAGAAGUCAUAGAUUGCAUUUCCUGUAUUUUGCAGUCACUGUAGCGCCUCCUACAGACUUGAAAAGGCAACGUAAGGUGACGGGUAGGUUGCUGUUUGAUGCCAACUCUGCCAGAAAAGUGAAUAAAUC
ensembl:lncRNA